GACGAACGCUGGCGGCGUGCUUAACACAUGCAAGUCGAACGAAGAGCGAUGGAAGCUUGCUUCUAUCAAUCUUAGUGGCGAACGGGUGAGUAACGCGUAAUCAACCUGCCCUUCAGAGGGGGACAACAGUUGGAAACGACUGCUAAUACCGCAUACGAUCUAAUCUCGGCAUCGAGGAUAGAUGAAAGGUGGCCUCUACAUGUAAGCUAUCACUGAAGGAGGGGAUUGCGUCUGAUUAGCUAGUUGGAGGGGUAACGGCCCACCAAGGCGAUGAUCAGUAGCCGGUCUGAGAGGAUGAACGGCCACAAUGGGACUGAGACACGGCCCAGACUCCUACGGGAGGCAGCAGUGGGGAAUCUUCCGCAAUGGACGAAAGUCUGACGGAGCAACGCCGCGUGAGUGAUGACGGCCUUCGGGUUGUAAAGCUCUGUUAAUCGGGACGAAAGGCCUUCUUGCGAAUAGUGAGAAGGAUUGACGGUACCGGAAGAGAAAGCCACGGCUAACUACGUG
rnacentral:rRNA from 1 species